AUUGAACGCUGGCGGCAGGCCUAACACAUGCAAGUCGAGCGGUAACAGAAAGUAGCUUGCUACUUUGCUGACGAGCGGCGGACGGGUGAGUAAUGCUUGGGAACAUGCCUUGAGGUGGGGGACAACAGUUGGAAACGACUGCUAAUACCGCAUAAUGUCUACGGACCAAAGGGGGCUUCGGCUCUCGCCUUUAGAUUGGCCCAAGUGGGAUUAGCUAGUUGGUGAGGUAAUGGCUCACCAAGGCAACGAUCCCUAGCUGGUUUGAGAGGAUGAUCAGCCACACUGGAACUGAGACACGGUCCAGACUCCUACGGGAGGCAGCAGUGGGGAAUAUUGCACAAUGGGCGAAAGCCUGAUGCAGCCAUGCCGCGUGUGUGAAGAAGGCCUUCGGGUUGUAAAGCACUUUCAGUCAGGAGGAAAGGGUGUGAGUUAAUACCUCACAUCUGUGACGUUACUGACAGAAGAAGCACCGGCUAACUCCGUGCCAGCAGCCGCGGUAAUACGGAGGGUGCGAGCGUUAAUCGGAAUUACUGGGCGUAAAGCGUACGCAGGCGGUUUGUUAAGCGAGAUGUGAAAGCCCCGGGCUCAACCUGGGAACUGCAUUUCGAACUGGCAAACUAGAGUGUGAU
rnacentral:rRNA from 1 species